rnacentral:lncRNA from 10 species
AAAAGCGCAGGUCCCCGCCUCGGCAGCCACGGGACACCUGCAUCUGCCAACAAGACUGGAAGCAGGUGAGGCACACAGAGGGGGAGGCCCGCAGCUGCGUGGGAGGAGGGGUGGUCUGAGGGACGUGGGAUGCCGGGAAUGAGGCUGGUUUGCAGGUUGGCGCAUGGACAUUUUCCCAGAAAGGGACAGAGACGGCGAAGUUUGACGGUCUGGAAAGCAGAGACCAGCAGGGCUGACUGCUUGGGAGCACCAAAUAUCCGGACAGCGCCUCUCGGGAGGUCCGAGAAGAGAACCGCGAUCUGUUUCAGCACCGGGGCUCAGGACAGUUCCCAGCGGGCUCCGUUUCGUCUCCAGAACCCUGGACAGCUCCUCCAGCCUCCCAAAGUGCUAGGAUUACAGGCGUGA